rnacentral:rRNA from 1 species
AGAGUUUGAUCAUGGCUCAGAACGAACGCUGGCGGCGCGCCUAACACAUGCAAGUCGAACGCGAAAGUGUAGCAAUACAUGAGUAAAGUGGCGCACGGGUGAGUAACGCGUAGGUGAUCUACCUCUGCGACCGGGAUAACCAGCCGAAAGGUUGGCUAAUACCGGAUAGAGCGCACUGAUUGUAAGGAUUGGUGCGGGAA